UUAAGAGUUAUUUUCAUAUAUAGACACUUUAUGACUUUUUAUUACAAGAAAGAGCAGUUGUUGCUACCAGGACACUUUUUGUUGGUUAAAGUCAUCUUUGUCCUCAAAAAAGACAAACUAGACGUGGACAUAUCUGUAAUAUAACAUAUUCUUCUGAUUUCUCUGGUUCGGGAGUUUAAAAUUUAAAAAUAAGAGAAGCUGAUUGGUGGAUUCCAUAGACGUAGUGUGUUUUGCUUAAUUAUCUGAGAUUGGCCCCGUGAUAAAGUAAAUAACUCUAUAUGUUUCAACUUUUCCCGAGUCUGAUAACCUAAUUUUACAUUUUCCAGACCGUUUUUCCGACGACGACCAACAGGAUUGGAGAACUGAGAAGCCGACGAAUGAAGAACGCGUGUAAGAACGGAGAAGCAGGCGAACAAGAUUUUCGGACGGAGAAGACGACGUCGUCUCGAAAGCGGAGAGCUUCAAAGGACAAGGCUAAAGAGAUGGCGCAAACUGAAGAGGGUGCGGUGAAUGGAGGAAAAGGUCGAAGCUUGUUGCUAGUUUUGGUGUUUUGACAAAACUGUGGUCGGAUGUACACCAACAAGUGUGUACAUAUGAUCAACCAUGAUUUUGUACAUAUGUACACGCGUGUAUUUGUAAAUAAUAAGUAAUGUAGAUAUGAAUAUUCUUGUUGAUAGGUUGACAUGUAUAUGUUGUGUUUGUUGGUGUAGGAGCCGAUACAUAUGAACAAUAUCCAUGUGUACACCAAAGUAAUGAUAUUCACAUGUACACAAAAAUGUAUACUUUCCGAUAAUAUAGCAAUACCAAUCUACUCCAUUGCAAAUUCAUUUUUGUUUUUAUUUUUUGAAUACUUUCUACAUUGAGAACCAUUUAAAACAUUAUUAUAAACUGGAUCACAUAUUUCAUUAGAUGUAUAUUGUUUAAACCAACCACAUGUAUAGUGAAUGAAAUAAGUGUACACAAGGGAAUAUGUACAUAUGGACAUUUGAAAGAGUGUGUACAUAUGGACAAUAGAGAAAGAGUGUACAUAUGGACACUAGAGAUCGAGAACUCGUGGAUUGCAAUAUAGCCAUAAAUGUGUAUUUUUAUGACUUCAAAAAUUUGAUUGCUUUAUAUUAGAUAGUUGUACGUAGUAGUAUUUUGGGUUGGAUGAAUGGACUGGAUCUUUGUGAGAACAAUACUCACGUGUACACUUGAUAACAAUGUCCACGUGUAUACCUAAAUACAAUAUUAACAUGUACAUGAUAUACCACCGGAGGUGCCGCAGCCGUGACUGUGACGGUGAAGAACUCGUUGACGACAUUGUUUUGUAAUUCAAGCAAGGGCAUGUCGGGAAAACGAGAACAAUUCGUAACAUUAUUUCCCUGUCUAUCGCGAAAUUCCAACGGAAGUCACCGAAACUCCAUUCACCGCCGAUUAAUCUAGAGAGAUAAUGGUCGAAGGUUGGUUUUUUGGAUUUAUCAGGACAAAAAAAGACAGAUGAUGAAGAUGAUGAUGUGUUAAAAAAUAGGAUUAAUCUGGACCAUUCAUAUUAAAGCUACAAUAGUAGAUCUAAUGGUUAUAAAAUAAGACAAAUAUAAAUCUUGUCAAAGUGUACUAAAAUUAAUUUUGUCUGUUGGAUAGGAGGGGAGAUGUGUGGCCGAGGUUAAUUCCCGCUUAUUUUCUAGUUAGGUCAAUAAAGUUUAGAGUUACAGUUAGUGUAUUUUAGUUAGGAAUCAAUAGGUUGUUGGAAGAAAGUGUGUGUGUAGCAAUAAGUGUCUUAUUAUGAUAUAAAAAGAUGGAAAGUGACCCUGAGUGUAAUUGUUUC